rnacentral:rRNA from 1 species
CCUACGGGCGGCAGCAGUGGGGAAUAUUGGACAAUGGGGGCAACCCUGAUCCAGCCAUGCCGCGUGUGUGAAGAAGGCCCUCGGGUUGUAAAGCACUUUCAGUGAGGAAGAACGCCUGGUGGUUAAUACCCAUCAGGAAAGACAUCACUCACAGAAGAAGCACCGGCUAACUCCGUGCCAGCAGCCGCGGUAAUACGGAGGGUGCGAGCGUUAAUCGGAAUUACUGGGCGUAAAGCGCGCGUAGGUGGCUUGAUAAGCCGGUUGUGAAAGCCCCGGGCUCAACCUGGGAACGGCAUCCGGAACUGUCAAGCUAGAGUGCAGGAGAGGAAGGUAGAAUUCCCGGUGUAGCGGUGAAAUGCGUAGAGAUCGGGAGGAAUACCAGUGGCGAAGGCGGCCUUCUGGACUGACACUGACACUGAGGUGCGAAAGCGUGGGUAGCAAACAGGAUUAGAUAUCCCGGUAGUC